UACGUAGGCAGCGAGCGUUGUUCGGAAUUACUGGGCGUAAAGAGUGUGUAGGCGGUCCACCAAGUUUGGGGUGACAGUUGCCGACUUAAUCGGCAAAGUGCCUCAAAGACUGGCGGACUUGAGGGCCACAGAGGGACAUGGAACUCCAGGUGUAGUGGUGAAAUGCGUAGAUAUCUGGAAGAACACCAAAGGUGAAGGCAGUGUCCUGGGUGGUCGCUGACGCUGAGAGGCGAAAGCCAGGGGAGCGAACGGG
rnacentral:rRNA from 1 species